AUCCAAGCAAAAUGGAUGUGGCGGAGAAGUUUAUUCAAGACAAUCCAUAGUAAGGCUUAACACACCAAUAUACACAUGAAGAAGAACUUCUUCGCAUCACGGAACAGAUGCAACCAGACGUAGAAAACCUAUUACUAGCAUUCGGGAUCGACAUUGCCACAAUAGGAGCCACAAGAGCGCCCACUCAUCCAACUUCUGAUGUAACGCAACCCGAUCCUGCACAUACAAAAACAAGAGCCAAUAUCAGUCAAGAGAUGAUGUAACUCAUGAAGGACCAAAUUGCAUUUGAGGAAAGUCACACCCUGAUAGAAUACUUGAGGAAAAAUCCUGGCCCAAGCAUACUCCACGAGUGGGCCACAAGAGUUCUACACAACUCCUACACCUCAACAACGAUGCUUGGGGGAGGUUACUUCAAAAUAUAAUUUAUGAGCAAACAAGGAAAACUACACAUGCUAUCUAAACCAUAUCAAUUCAACAACGAAGAUAUAUUAUUUUCCACCUGGAGAGCCGACUUCGACCUGGAAUCGGAAACCGACACGCACCAAACCUCCUCCCAAAUCUGGGCACAACUCCGAGGCUUAAGAAGGAUUUUUCGCACAACACAGUUUCUCACAGAAGCCUUUUCCACUAUCGAAGAAGUCAUAGCCGUUGACUCCACCAAAUCUUACCAAAACAAAGCUUCUGGUUCUAAGGUUCAGUUACCAGUCUAGGAUGUAGUCAACCUCCCACAUACUUCAGUUCUUCCCAAGAGGUGAACAUGAAUACCGAAUUGACUACAGUGUACUAUCCUCCUAGUGCAAUAGAUGUAGAAGUACUACACACCACGCUAAACACUGUACACUACCGUGGAGAGAAGAGCGCAAGAGAUCCAGAUAGAAAACCCCAACCUUGGAAAACUCGGUAACCGACAACCUCACCCAACACAGACAGACCAAUGGUGAAGAGAAAACAUUGAAAAAUGUAGGACCUAGGAAGAAGAACAGUGCAACUCUUCUACGCACCAAAUACAUCUGGGUAGAAAAGAAACCAACAAAAUCCACAGACACACAUGAAGGACCAGAAAAACCAUCUGAAUCAAUCAUAUACAACUCACCACAUACAAUUGAGCUUUUGGAGAGCUCUGGGAUCAGAACCGCCUUGCAAAGGAACAACUUAUGAGCAAAUUACAGUAGCUUUAGUUUGGUCAUCUCAAAACAACUUCCUUGAAACCCUGGUUUGCAAAGCUAGCGACACUCUGCUGUGCACAACACAACUGACUCACGUCCCAAAGGAGAAGGAUUGGUCAUCAUCAAUCGCUCAAACGCAUAUGGUUAACACCACAAUGCAAAAGCUCCAAACACAGAUAACCAAUAGAGGAAAUGGCCCCAACUUGCUCCGCACCUAGUCAGACGCAAUAUGGGUUUCAGAAUAGCUCAACUAAAAAUCUACUCACACAAACAAUUGGAUUACUAUCUUGCCAUACGACAAAAGCACCACAGCGAUCAAACAUCAAUAAACAAAGCACUGGAAGCAGAUACCAUCAUCAACAUCCCCCCCACAAGCUCUCAUACUAGAAAGGGUAAAGGAGAUAUCAUAUGGCCAAUGGUGUCAGACAAUCAUCCAUCUCCAAGAUUAACACACCCAGGAUGUGAACUCCUCUCCUCUAACUCACUUUGAGCAGAAACUCGGAGAGAACAACACAUCUAUUAUACAUGAAUGAUGGCCUAACAAUGGCCACAUACAACAUCCAGUGCUUAGGCGAAGGACUGGAUGGCGUCAGAAAAUGCUGUAAGCUUCGAAACUUAAUGCAAAAGACCUAUCUCAAACCCAACCUUAUAUUAUUACAAGAACAUCAAUUCAACCAUACUAACUGUACCAAACAAGCUACACAACUAGAUUUUCUACAAGGUACAAUGCUUUGGAACACCGUAGUGUACUCAGCACAAAAAGUGGCUUAGUUGGUGGAACAGCUAUUUUGGUAUCCAACAAACUCACCGAUAACCUAAAAGAACAUGGAGUGAUAGUCUGAGGAAGAGCGCAACGCUCCAUUUUCAAAAUCAGCCCCACAGUUCAAAUAGGCAUUCUAAAUGUCUAUGGUUACAGCCACACAGAACCCCGUGCAAGACUAUGGCAGAAAAUAGCAGACCACCCUUUACCAGAAGCCCUCUGGAUCAUGGGGGGCGAUUCUAAUUUUAUUGAGUCCCUCGAAGACAAGCAGGGUGGGAAUGCCAAUUUAAGACAAGGAACACAAGAAAUGACAGCAUGGAAUAACAUGCUCAUUAAACUAUAAGUUCAAGACAGUUUCCACAUGGGAGAAUUCUGCAAGAUUACCAAUAAACGCUUCACCUGGGAUAACAGAAGCCCAGCCCCGAAGACAGUACUCACCAAGCUAGAUAGAAUAUACAUUGGAGACAAACUCCAAGACUGAGGUGGACUAUGUGGAAUCUGGACAGCACAACCAAUCAUUUCGUAUUACACCCCUGCUUUCAUAAGAUUGAAACCUGCAUGCCGACCUCUACCCUAGAUGCAGUUCUUUGACAAACGACAACUAGAAUCAGUUGAAGGCAGACAACAUGUCACAGGAGCUUGAAAACAGGCCAUAUAAAACACUACAUAAACCAAAUGGAGCGAUAAAAUUGGCCUUACAAGCAGUAUGCAACACGAACCUAAAUAUUGCAAAAAAGAACAGACAGACUUGGAAAAAAUAGUACAAGAAUCAACUAAACCAGACACUCAAUGCCAAACUCCUCGUUCAAGAUAACUGAAAUGACCCAACGACGAGGGACACACUCAACACAACACAGCUAUAAUUACAAAAAAAUUGAUACAACAGGCUAGAAAAACAAUUCACAUUCCUUACAGUCAAAUGGACAAGAGUGAGAGACCGUUGCAACUCUGAGUUCUUUCAACACUACAGAGCUCGUCACUGCAAAGUCCGCAUCAAAGAAUCCAAUGAUAAGGACCGCAUUCAAAAGUUCCAGAAGCACAUGGCGCUUUAUGCACAAAGAUAUUACCAACAACUCUACACCCCAAACUCCACCGUUGAAUGCAAUGUAGACUCCGAAAGAGACACCUUAGCAAGCACUC
rnacentral:lncRNA from 1 species